GAAACGCAUGUUGGUUCUUAAAAUGAAGUCAAUAACCUGAAUAUGAGCUAUUCAGCAGUGAAAAUGAAAAUACACUGACGACAUUGAUGAAAAUUCUGACAAUUUAACUUAGGUGAACUUUUGACCUAUUGUGACCAAUAGGAUAUAAGAUGCAACAAACAUGAUAGAGGAUUCAUAUCGGAAUCUAUUAUGCAAUUAUAUCACUUCAUAUUGAGAGAUUCCAACUUAAAUAAAACCAAUGCCCUUUUGCUCUGAAUCUAUUAUGCAAUUAUAUCACUUCAUAUUGAGAGAUUCCAACUUAAAUAAAACCAAUGCCCUUUUGCUCUACAUUUCAUUUUCAUGUCGUGUGUCACGACACCAGUGGUUUGUAAAAUUAUUUGUUGAAAUUUCCAUUUAUCUCACUUCCAUUUUUAAAAAAUCCCGAUUCCCUCUCUUCCCUCUCUACGCUUUCACAACUUCAUUUUCACUCUCUCCCUUAUCAAGACUCUAUUCUGAUCUAAAGCUUCAAUAACAACUUGCUUCU
rnacentral:lncRNA from 1 species